UACGUAGGGCGCGAGCGUUGUCCGGAAUCAUUGGGCGUAAAGGGCGCGUAGGCGGCUCAUGAAGGCUGUGGUGAAAGUCCGGGGCUCAACCUCGGAUCGGCCGUGGCGACUCGUGGGCUGGAGCACUGUAGAGGCGGGUGGAAUUCCGGGUGUAGCGGUGGAAUGCGUAGAGAUCCGGAAGAACACCAGUGGCGAAGGCGGCCCGCUGGGCAGUGGCUGACGCUGAGGCGCGACAGCGUGGGGAGCAAACAGG
rnacentral:rRNA from 1 species